UCUGCUCUACUGACCGAGCCAACCAUGUACCCCGAGAAUUUUUUUCUCAUUUAUUAUUUUAAAAUAAUUAUACAUCCACGGAAAUUUGCAGAAUUAGUCCAGAGAGGUCCCUGGCACCUUUCCCUCUGCUUCCCCCAACGGUUAUAUCUCGUGUAUCUAUAACGAAACGUCAGAGCCGGGACACUGAUGCAACGUCCUGGCGUGUAGCGCUCUGGGCCCUCACGUGACCGCAGCCGUAUGUACCCGCCACCCCAGCCAACGUCCAGGGCGUUCCAGUCACCACAGGGAGCCCCCUCCAGCGACCCCCGAAGGCCCCCCGCCACGCCCCCACAGCCACCGCUAGCCCCGGGACAGCACCCAUCUGCUGCGCGCCUCUAGAACUCCCUCAGGAUGCUCUAGAUGCAAGCCUACGGCACAGAGCUUCUGGAGAGCCGGCGUUCCCACUCAGCACGAUGCCCCGGGCAGGAUUCCAAGUCUCACGUGUAUCAGGAGCUCCUUCCUUUUCGUUUGCGCUGUGUCCCGCUUGUGCGUGUACUGGAUAAUCUAUUUUUAAGUCCCUAUUCUAAUCCCACAUAUGCAUGGUUUCCAGGGAUGGGAGUGUGCACAUCUUUGGGGCCUAUCUGUCCUGUGCAAGGUGCCAAGGAGGAGUGGAGGGCAUGAUCUAAACGCUGGGCAUGCCAUGUCCGCCCGGUGGUCCGCAGGUCCAGCGUGGGGCAGACGGGCUGGGAGAGUCGUCUUCCCUCCAGGAGUCACCCGCCCAAUCAUACACGAAGCUCCGCCACUUGGAGGAGAAGGGACGUCGAGGACAAGCCUUCCCAGCAGAACCUGUGCGCACACACCCCCCACGGGGGUUGAGAGGAGACGGUGGGCCCUUGCCUGUGAGUGCCAUGCGUGGUGUUGGCACCCCACAGCUGGGGUCCUGGUGAGCACAGAAGGGGUAGUUUCCGGGAGGCAGGUGCCGAGGGGCAGACGGAAGACCUAGGUAUUUGCGUUGGCUCUGCUCCUGGGGCACAUCGUCUGUGUCUCAGUUUACCCACUGUGAGUAGGGGAGACCGCAUUGAGUAUCUCCCCUGUGGUCCGUGGCCCUUCCCUGGAGUCACAGUGGUAGGCAAGGGUGGCGCGUCUGUCCCCCCCCCCCCCAGCCUGGGGGAGAAGCAGGGACCUUCCCUCCUUCCCUCCAGCAUCGUGCUGCAUGGAGCGUCAGGGCGGGAUCCAGAAGAGAGGAUGAUGGAGUGACAGUACCACCGGCCGCAUCUCCGGCUCUCAUCCCACCUGCCUCCCGUGGGCCGUUCCUGGCCCCAUCUCUCACCUGCUCUGUGUUUGAUGGUGUGGCAGGCAGAAGGCUAAGAUGGUCCCCAGUGGCUCAGGACCUUGUGGACACCUGUCCUUGAGUGUGAGCAGAACUUGCGAUGUGACAGGUUUCGUGUCUCUGACAGUGUGAUGUAUGGUGAAGGUGAAAGGGUUUUCCAGAUGGAAUGAAGAUUCCUGCUCAGUUGACCUUUUGUUCAUCCAAAAGGAAAUGAUUCUGGGUGAGCCUGAGCUAAUCAGGGGGACGCAGGUCCCCUUGAGGUCACAGAAUCACCGCUGGCCCUGGGGAAGCAGGACCCCACAGGUAUGCAGCUGCCAGCACGGGAGUUCUGUCAACAGCCUGGUGAGCCUGGAAGAGGCAGGCCCCUGCCCGGAGGCCACACAGGCACGGCGCCAGGCUGGCCGCGGGGACAUCUCGGCAGGACUCCGGGCCACGUGUGCCCUGCACUCCGAUCCCACAGAGACGGUCUGCCGCGUGGUGUUUGAAGCCUCUAAGUUGGCACUAACUUGCUCCAUCGCAGUAGAAAACGACCCUCCGCUGUGGUGAGGGUCCCAUGCUCCCUGUCCCCGCUUCCUCGGGGCCUCCCGGGCCACCUUGCCCUCCAGAGGCCCAGCUCAAGUGUCAGCUCCUUGGAGAAACCCUCCCUGGGGGCCCACCGGCGGUCUGCACCUAAAGCGAGGCGGCCUUGCUGCAGUCUCCGUGGGUCCUGUGCCCAGGGCAUGGGUGAUGGCGCCUCCUGCCCCACCCAGUGCGGGGACGGCUGCGGCCAGGUGCCGGCCGAUCAAAGUAGAGCUGACACUCGACGUGGCAUCAGUCUCCGGUGCGCAGCGCAGUGAUGCGGCCCUCGCCCCAAGUGUGGCUGCCGCCCGUCACCACACAGCAGACCUGCGGGGCUGUGCCCUUCAUCCCGUGAGGGGCCGCUGCCUUCCCGAGUCCCCAGGAACCUUGGCGCCCACUCACGGCCGGCAGGUCGGCUGAAGGGACUCCGAAAGCCCUGACCGCGCACACAGAAGCCGGCCGGGCCCGGCCGCUCCCCAGGCCGGGGCGCCUUCCGAGGGGGGCUGUGCGUGUUUCUACCUUGAUCCUCACCCAGGCGCAGGCUUUUACGGUUGUGGUCAAAUACGUUUAACAUAAGACGUACCAUUUUAACCAUUUUCAGUGCACAGCUCAGUGGUAUUGAGCAUAGUCACCAUCAUGCAGCCACACCCACCAUCCGUUUCCUGCACUUUCCAUCUCCCCACACGGAGCCUCUGGGCCCGUGCAGCACUGGAGCACGCCACCCUCCACGUGGGCCCUACCUCCGUGUCCUUCCGUCUGUCCUCUGCACGGGGCAGUUCCACCGUGGAUCUGGGCAGGAAAUUAACACCGCAAGCGUCCGUUUCAGCUGACUUGUAUUUCAUGUUUGCCACAGCCUGCGAUCCGCUUAUGACGCGAACUGUGGUGUAUUUAGGCUUUUUAAUUCUUUCAAUAAAGACCAGAUGAACUCACUUUACAGUCUUACAAAAAUGGAGUGAAACACAUGGUCAGGAAGCGUUGGUCUCCUUAUCAUCCAAAAUUUCAUUCUCUGAAUGUAAAACUGAUCAAUAAAAUGUUUUUUAAUGAUA